rnacentral:rRNA from 1 species
CCUACGGGUGGCAGCAGUGAGGAAUAUUGGUCAAUGGACGAGAGUCUGAACCAGCCAAGUAGCGUGAAGGAUGACUGCCCUAUGGGUUGUAAACUUCUUUUAUAUGGGAAUAAAAUGUUCCACGUGUGGGAUUUUGUAUGUACCAUAUGAAUAAGGAUCGGCUAACUCCGUGCCAGCAGCCGCGGUAAUACGGAGGAUCCGAGCGUUAUCCGGAUUUAUUGGGUUUAAAGGGAGCGUAGGUGGAUUGUUAAGUCAGUUGUGAAAGUUUGCGGCUCAACCGUACAAUUGCAGUUGAAACUGGCAGUCUUGAGUACAGUAGAGGUGAGCGGAAUUCGUGGUGUAGCGGUGAAAUGCUUAGAUAUCACGAAGAACUCCGAUUGCGAAGGCAGUUCACUGGACUGAAACUGACACUGAGGCUCGAAAGUGUGGGUAUCAAACAGGAUUAGAUACCCCUGUAGUC